rnacentral:rRNA from 1 species
CCUACGGGAGGCAGCAGUGAGGAAUAUUGGUCAAUGGACGAGAGUCUGAACCAGCCAAGUAGCGUGAAGGAUGACUGCCCUAUGGGUUGUAAACUUCUUUUAUAUGGGAAUAAAAUGUUCCACGUGUGGGAUUUUGUAUGUACCAUAUGAAUACGGAUCGGCUAACUCCGUGCCAGCAGCCGCGGUAAUACGGAGGAUCCGAGCGUUAUCCGGAUUUAUUGGGUUUAAAGGGAGCGUAGGUGGAUUGUUAAGUCAGUUGUGAAAGUUUGCGGCUCAACCGUAAAAUUGCAGUUGAAACUGGCAGUCUUGAGUACAGUAGAGGUGGGCGGAAUUCGUGGUGUAGCGGUGAAAUGCUUAGAUAUCACGAAGAACUCCGAUUGCGAAGGCAGUUCACUGGACUGCAACUGACACUGAGGCUCGAAAGUGUGGGUAUCAAACAGGAUUAGAUACCCGAGUAGUC